AUGGGUCAGAGAGAAGAGAAGAGUUAUCGAUUUUUUUGGCCUUUUGAAUUCAAGAAGAUGAUACAUAGUGAAGGUAAAAGUGUUCUUCUGAUGAAAAUUGAAGGUGCAAGGGUGAUGAUAAGGAUGGUUCAGGCCUGGGAUGGUGCCCAGUUCAGUCGGCAGGUGGAUGGUUUGAUGUUGAUUGGAUCUGUUCUUGUUAAUGUAGUGCAACAUUGA